GUGGGGGUAUUUCAGUGGUUAGAAUCACAGAUUGCAACUUUGGUUGUUCAUCCGCAUGAUAUCUGUUUGUCAUGGGUUCAAAUCCCAUUCUCCACU
rfam:Cryptococcus pinus CBS 10737 unplaced genomic scaffold supercont1.3, whole genome shotgun sequence.